AGUGAACGCUGGCGGUAGGCCUAACACAUGCAAGUCGAACGGCAGCACAGUAAGAGCUUGCUCUUACGGGUGGCGAGUGGCGGACGGGUGAGGAAUACAUCGGAAUCUACUUUUUCGUGGGGGAUAACGUAGGGAAACUUACGCUAAUACCGCAUACGACCUACGGGUGAAAGCAGGGGAUCUUCGGACCUUGCGCGAUUGAAUGAGCCGAUGUCGGAUUGGCUAGUUGGCGGGGUAAAGGCCCACCAAGGCGACGAUCCGUAGCUGGUCUGAGAGGAUGAUCAGCCACACUGGAACUGAGACACGGUCCAGACUCCUACGGGAGGCAGCAGUGGGGAAUAUUGGACAAUGGGCGCAAGCCUGAUCCAGCCAUACCGCGUGGGUGAAGAAGGCCUUCGGGUUGUAAAGCCCUUUUGUUGGGAAAGAAAAGCAGCAGGUUAAUACCCCGCUGUUCUGGCGGUACCCAAAGAAUAAGCACCGGCUAACUUCGU
rnacentral:rRNA from 1 species